rnacentral:rRNA from 1 species
CUUUAUUAUUAAUUUAGAUUUAUUGGUCUUUAGUUAAUUUAUUAAUAUAUUAUAUUAAAUGUAAAUUUAUAGGUAAUUAUGAUUAAAUUAGUAUAAUUUUAAUGUUAAAUUAAUUGUAUUUUUAAGAUAAAAUUAAGGAAUUCGGCAAAUUUGUUUUCUGCCUGUUUAUUAAAAACAUGUCUUUUUGUGAUUAUUUGAAGUCGGGCCUGCCCUAUGAUUAUUUAAAUGGCCGCGGUAUUUUGACCGUGCAAAGGUAGCAUAAUAAUUAGUUUCUUAAUUGGAAGCUGGUAUGAAUGGUUUGACAAGAAAAUUUCUGUCUCUAUUUUAUUAUUAGAAUUUAACUUUUGAGUCAAAAGGCUUAAAUGUUUUUAAAAGACGAGAAGACCCUAUAGAAUUUUAUACUAAAUUUAAUUAAAGUUUUAUGGGUUAUUUAUUUUUAAUUAAGUUUGGUAUUUUGUUGGGGUGAUGGAAAAACUUAAAUAACUUUUUCUAAUUAUAUUCAUUAAUUUAUGA